GAGGGUGAUGGAGAGCACGGGGCAGGAGGAGGCAGUAUGCCCCGCCUGCAGCGGCGACACCAGCUCACGCCUGGGGAAGCUUCUGCAGUGCUAUGAGAAGCUGCAGGGCAUGGUGGAUUCCCUCAUGUUGAGCAAGAAGAGGGGCAAGGUGGUGAGGCAGCUGCCGGGGAAGAGCCAGGACCAGGAGGCGCUGAAGGAGGUGCAGGCUGCCAUCCUGCAGAUGCAAGGGGAGCAUGAAAAGCUCAGCUCUGUCACAGGGAGCCUCCUGGAUGAGAGUCGCCAGCAGCAGAAAGAUAUCGAGGUAGAUGGCUGAAACCCCCAUGGGCUUAGAGCAUCCUCCAGGCAGAGCCCAGGUUGGGGACCAGAAGCGAUUUUCCCUGUGGAGGUUAAAAGUACCUUUCCCAGGGGAUUCUGGGGCGAGAGGGGGGAAGCAGGGGUGCUCCUGCCGUAAUGUCACGGGAUGCUUUCUGUGUUGGAAGGGUCUGUUCCAGUCCAUGGAGAGGCUGGAGAAGGAGAAGGCAGACAAGGAGGACCUGGAGCUGGGAAUGGAUGAGAAAGCAGACAAGGACGCUUUGGAAAGCAAAGUCAGUCGCGCCCAAUUUGAGGCGAGCCUGGAGCUGCUGGACAAGAGAAACCAGGAGGUGCUGAGCCGGGUGACAGGCCAGGAGCAGGGGCUGC
rnacentral:lncRNA from 14 species